rnacentral:rRNA from 1 species
CCUACGGGAGGCAGCAGUGAGGAAUAUUGGUCAAUGGCCGGAAGGCUGAACCAGCCAUGCCGCGUGAAGGUCAGUGCCCUAUGGGCGUUAAACUUCUUUUGUGCGGGAGCAAUAAUGGUCACGUGUGGCCAGACGAGAGUACCGUACGAAUAAGCCUCGGCUAACUCCGUGCCAGCAGCCGCGGUAAUACGGGGGAUGCCAGCGUUAUUCGGAUUUUUUGGGUUUAAAGGGUGCGGAGGCUGUGAGGUAAGUCAGCAGUGAAAUGCCCGCGCUCAACGGGGUGAAGUGCCAUUGAUACUGCCUGGCUAGAAUGCAGAUGCGGUGGGAGGAAUGUGUGGUGUAGCGGUGAAAUGCAUAGAGAUCACACAGAACACCGAUUGCGAAGGCAUCUCACGAAGCCGCGAUUGACGCUUAGGCACGAAAGCGUGGGUAUCAAACAGGAUUAGAUACCCCGGUAGUC